rnacentral:rRNA from 1 species
UACGGAGGGUGCGAGCGUUGUCCGGAAUCACUGGGCGUAAAGGGCGCGUAGGCGGCCUGGUAAGUAGGGGGUGAAAUCCUGCGGCUUAACCGCAGGGCUGCCUUCUAAACUGUCAGGCUAGAGCACGGUAGAGGCAGAUGGAAUUCCCGGUGUAGCGGUGGAAUGCGUAGAGAUCGGGAAGAACAUCAGUGGCGAAGGCGGUCUGCUGGGCCGUUGCUGACGCUGAGGCGCGACAGCGGUGGGGAGCAAACAGG